rnacentral:sRNA from 1 species
AAGGCGUUCAGAGUCUUAGCUGAACGCGGAGCUGCGGCUGCUGUGAUGUGGAGCGGCUGCCGGCGUCUCGGGGCGCGCCUCGGCUGCCUGCCCGGCGGUCUCCGGGCCCUCUUCCAGACCGGCCACCGGAGCUUGAGCUCCUGCAUCGACCCUUCCGUGGGACUUAAUGAAGAGCAGAAAGAAUUUCAGAAAGUGGCCUUUGACUUUGCUGCCCGAGAGAUGGCUCCAAAUAUGGCAGAGUGGGACCAGAAGGAGCUGUUCCCAGUGGAUGUGAUGCGGAAGGCAGCCCAGCUAGGCUUCGGAGGGGUCUACGUACAAACAGAUGUGGGUGGGUCUGGGCUGUCACGUCUUGAUACCUCUGUCAUUUUUGAAGCCUUGGCUACAGGCUGCACCAGCACCACAGCCUAUAUAAGCAUCCACAAGAAGUGGGAGUGAUGCUGCCUCUCUUCUGACCUCCGCUAAGAAACAGGGAGACCAUUACAUCCUCAGUGGCUCCAAGGCCUUCAUCAGUGGUGCUGGUGAGUCAGACAUCUAUGUGGUCAUGUGCCGAACAGGAGGACCAGGCCCCAAGGGCAUCUCAUGCAUAGUUGUUGAGAAGGGGACCCCUGGCCUCAGCUUUGGCAAGAAGGAGAAAAAGGUGAGUGGCUGUUGGACAGGAAACAAUUCAGAUUAUGAGACUCUGCCACCUGCCAGCCCAACUCCUGCUCUAUUUCAGAAAACAGGUUUGCAUACUUGCUAACCUACCUUUGAAGCAGUUGCUUCUAUUAGGAUUUUCAACAGGAGCAUAUGAAAUACAACAGGGCAUUGUUAAAUAAACACUGGGCCUCUGGGGAAAGUGACAACGUUUGCCAAUAAGUUCUUCAAGCCACCUGUUAGUGUUCUGACCUCUCCUGCCUCUGCUUUUGGCCUGUGUUCCUUAUCCAGCUUCUUACGUUGGUGCACUUUGUUGCUCCAGGAAGAGACACUUAGAGAAGACCUGGUGUUGACCACAAGUCUCAGUAAUGGAAGGCAUGUGGUCCCUUUUUCUUCUUUGAUU